AGCAAAAGCUGUAAGGAGCAGUGAGGGUUAUGCUUUGAGGGAGAAAGUAAAGCGAAAUGCAAAAGGAGAGAACGAAGAGAAACAAGUCGACGCCUCCGCUUUGCUUUGAUGGCGGAGGAGGAGGAAAGGCUGCGCCGACCGGACCGGGAAGGAGCGAGAACAUGGCGUAUGGCGGCGUGCGAGGCGAUUGUUUUCGGCGGUAAUUAUCGUCAUAUCUUUGUACCGGCGACGUUAUGCGACUGUGUUCGUGUUGUGAAGUGAUCUGGCCGCGUCGGUGAACGCUCUCGGUGAUGUCAGUGAUGUUCAAAUCCACCGUUGUUACCGGAAAUUGCAAAAAAGCAGUGCAACUUCGACAACUCGUGAGUACGACGGCCACACGGGCGAUCAGCGGCGGCGGGCCGCCAUGUGCGCUGGAUCGGAGGGCCCAGGAGUGCGUGCUGUAGAGCUGCGAACCUGUGCCUAUUUGGAAUAAAGUGGGACGUCAACAAUAAUAAGAACGCCACCCAUGAAAGCAGAACCCCGGGCUCUCCAUUGGAACUUUAGAGUGGACCACCGCACCGGUACGACGGUCACCUGGAGGCCCAGGAGUCAUCAGGACAAAUAACUCUGAAUAUAUAUAAAUGAUAUCUAAUGUGUUUGUGAUGACGGAGCAAUUAUGUCAAAAUGAAACACAUAUUUAAAAAUGUUUUUUUUAUCUUGUUAACAAUGUAUUCAUAAAAAACUUCACUUGGAUCUCUCUUCAUUCACCCAACCACUGCGGCAUGUAUACAGAGUGUGAUCCGCAAGACAAAAGAUUUUUUAUGUUGCUUGGCUCCCAAAAGAGUUCUUCAAUUCAAAUACGUACAAGGUGUGUUCGAAAAGAAACCAAACUUUUGCUUUAACAUCUUUAUUGCUUAUUGUACAACAUUUUAUGCAUGGCCCCUUCAAAGUAGUCCCCUCUUCUGGCAAUACAUUGUUCCUAUCAUCUCAUCCAUUUUUUGAAAGCCUCCUGGAACACUUUUUCUGGGAUGGCGCGUAGGUCUCGUGUCGCAUUGUCUUGAAAUUUCUUUUAUGGGUUGGAAACGACGUCCUUUCAACGUGAUUUUAAGUUCGGGAAACAGGAAAAAGGCUUCUUGGGCUAGGUC